CAGGGCAGUUUUCCUUGAUAAUCUUUCUUUCUUUCUUUCUUUCUUUCUUUCUUUCUUUCUUUCUUUCUUUCUUUCUUUCUUUCUUUCUUUCUUUCUUUCUUUCUUUCUUUCUUUCUUUCUUUCUUUCUUUCUUUCUUUCUUUCUUUCUCUCUCUUUCUUUCUUUCUUUCUUUCUUCCUUCCUUGCUUUCUUUCUUUCUCUUCCUUCCUUCCUUCCUUCCUUCCUUCCUUCCUUCCUUCCUUCCUUCCUUCCUUGCUUUCUUUCUUUCCUUCCUUCGUCCUCUUUUUUCUCCCUUCCCUCCUUCCCUCCCUUCUUCUCUUCCUCAUUUCAUUCCCUCCUUAUAUAAUUCUGUGCCAUCACCUCUAGGCUAAGAUCAGAG
rnacentral:lncRNA from 1 species